UACGGAAGGCAGCAGUGGGGAAUAUUGCACAAUGGGCGCAAGCCUGAUGCAGCCAUGCCGCGUGUAUGAAGAAGGCCUUCGGGUUGUAAAGUACUUUCAGUCGUGAGGAAGGUGUUAAGGUUAAUAACCUUAGCAAUUGACGUUAGCGACAGAAGAAGCACCGGCUAACUCCGUGCCAGCAGCCGCGGUAAUACGGAGGGUGCGAGCGUUAAUCGGAAUUACUGGGCGUAAAGGGCACGCAGGCGGUUAAUUAAGUUGGAUGUGAAAUCCCCGGGCUUAACCUGGGAAUGGCAUUCAAGACUGGUUAGCUAGAGUCUUGUAGAGGGGGUAGAAUUCCAUGUGUAGCGGUGAAAUGCGUAGAGAUGUGGAGGAAUACCGGUGGCGAAAGGCGGCCCCUGGACAAAGACUGACGCUCAUGUGCGAAAGCGUGGGGAGCAAAACAGGAUUAGAUACC
rnacentral:rRNA from 1 species